GUUGCUCAUCUUAUCCUCUCUCUUGCAUCUUCCGUGCCAGGUAACUAUUCCUUGUCGGGCAGCGAGUUAACCCGCUUCAGGCGGCAAAAAGCGAGUAAAAAUGACUCGCAUGACCCGCCUGGCGAGUCAUUUUUACCCACUAGUAUCCGAAAGGGUGUGCGACAACGCGCGGUUAUGCGGAGCGAAGAAUGGCAUGAUCUCUGCUUAAGUAAGGAAAAUAAAAACGAGCCGGGGAAGCCUGUGAGUUUUAUACGAUUACAUAAAGACGCCGCUGCAACGUGGUUGAGUCGGCUGUUACCUGCGGCGAUCUUCAUUCUGGUGGGGCUAUUUUCCAUUAUGGUCAUUCGCGACUAUGGCCGUGAGAGCGCUGCCGCCAGGCAGACGCUGCUGGAAAAGAGAAAUGUACUCAUU
rnacentral:misc_RNA from 1 species